rnacentral:misc_RNA from 1 species
GAUGAAGAACGCAGCGAAAUGCGAUAAGUAGUGUGAAUUGCAGAAUUCAGUGAAUCAUCGAAUCUUUGAACGCACAUUGCGCCCUUUGGUAUUCCAAAGGGCAUGCCUGUUCGAGCGUCAUUUGUACCCUCAAGCUUUGCUUGGUGUUAGGCGUCUUGUCUCUAGCUUUGCUGGAGACUCGCCUUAAAGUAAUUGGCAGCCGGCCUACUGGUUUCGGAGCGCAGCACAAGUCGCACUCUCUAUCAGCAAAGGUCUAGCAUCCAUUAAGCCUUUUUUUCAACUUUUGACCUCGGAUCAGGUAGGGAUACCCGCUGAACUUAAGCAUAUCAAUAAGCGGAGGA